rnacentral:rRNA from 1 species
AACAUUAGAGUUUGAUCAUGGCUCAGAUUGAACGCUGGCGGCAGGCCUAACACAUGCAAGUCGGCGGUAGCACAGAGGAGCUUGCUCCUCGGGUGACGAGUGGCGGACGGGUGAGUAAUGUCUGGGGAUCUGCCCGAUAGAGGGGGAUAACCACUGGAAACGGUGGCUAAUACCGCAUAACGUCGCAAGACCAAAGAGGGGGACCUUCGGGCCUCUCACUAUCAGAUGAACCCAAUGGGAUUAGCUAGUAGGCGGGGUAACGGCCCACCUAGGCGACGAUCCCUAGCUGGUCUGAGAGGAUGACCAGCCACACUGGAACUGAGACACGGUCCAGACUCCUACGGGAGGCAGCAGUGGGGAAUAUUGCACAAUGGGCGCAAGCCUGAUGCAGCCAUGCCGCGUGUAUGAAGAAGGCCUUCGGGUUGUAAAGUACUUUCAGCGGGGAGGAAGGCAGUGAGGUUAAUAACCUUACUGAUUGACGUUACCCGCAGAAGAAGCACCGGCUAACUCCGUGCCAGCAGCCGCGGUAAUACGGAGGGUCAAGCGUUAAUCGGAAUUACUGGGCGUAAAGCGCACGCAGGCGGUCUGUUAAGUCAGAUGGAAAUCCCCGGGCUUAACCUGGGAACUGCAUUUGAAACUGGCAGGCUUGAGUCUCGUAGAGGGGGGUAGAAUUCCAGGUGUAGCGGUGAAAUGCGUAGAGAUCUGGAGGAAUACCGGUGGCGAAGGCGGCCCCCUGGACGAAGACUGACGCUCAGGUGCGAAAGCGUGGGGGAGCAGGAUUAGAUACCCUGGUAGUCCACGCCGUAAACGAUGUCG